rnacentral:rRNA from 1 species
GGCCGCGGGAAUUCGAUUCAGGCCUAACACAUGCAAGUCGAGCGGGGUUUUCGGACCUAGCGGCGGACGGGUGAGUAAUGCGUAGGAAGCUGCCCGAUAGAGGGGGAUACCAGUUGGAAACGACUGUUAAUACCGCAUAAUGUCUACGGACCAAAGUGUGGGACCUUCGGGCCACAUGCUAUCGGAUGCGCCUACGUGGGAUUAGCUAGUUGGUGAGGUAAUGGCUCACCAAGGCGACGAUCUCUAGCUGGUUUGAGAGGAUGAUCAGCCACACUGGAACUGAGACACGGUCCAGACUCCUACGGGAGGCAGCAGUGGGAAUAUUGGACAAUGGGCGCAAGCCUGAUCCAGCCAUGCCGCGUGUGUGAAGAAGGCCUUCGGGUUGUAAAGCACUUUCAGCGAGGAGGAAGGGUGGUGUGUUAAUAGCACAUCAUUUGACGUACUCGCA